GGGUUGUGAGGUUAAGCGAAUAAGCGUACACGGUGGAUGCCUAGGCAAUCAGAGGCGAUGAAGGACGUGCUAAUCUGCGAAAAGCGUCGGUAAGGUGAUAUGAACCGUUAUACCCGACGAUAUCCGAAUGGGGAAACCCAGUAUCCAAUGGAUACUAUCAUUAACUGAAUCCAUAGGUUAAUGAGGCGAACCGGGAGAACUGAAACAUCUCAGUACCCCGAGGAAAAGAAAUCAACCGAGAUUCCCCUAGUAGCGGCGAGCGAACGGGGAGCAGCCCAGAGUCUUAAUCAAUAACAGUGUCAGGAGAACGGUCUGGAAAGUCCGGCAGUAAAGGGUGAUAGCCCCGUAUCUGAAGAUGCUGUUAUUGUGAACUCGACGAGUAGGGCGGGACACGUGUUAUCCUGUCUGAAUAUGGGGGGACCAUCCUCCAAGGCUAAAUACUCCUGAUUGACCGAUAGUGAACCAGUACCGUGAGGGAAAGGCGAAAAGAACCCCGGCGAGGGGAGUGAAAAAGAACCUGAAACCGUGUACGUACAAGCAGUAGGAGCCUCUUUAUGGGGUGACUGCGUACCUUUUGUAUAAUGGGUCAGCGACUUAUAUUCUGUAGCAAGGUUAACCGUAUAGGGGAGCCGUAGGGAAACCGAGUCUUAACUGGGCGAAUGAGUUGCAGGGUAUAGACCCGAAACCCGGUGAUCUAUCCAUGGGCAGGUUGAAGGUUGGGUAACACUAACUGGAGGACCGAACCGACUAAUGUUGAAAAAUUAGCGGAUGACUUGUGGAUGGGGGUGAAAGGCCAAUCAAACCGGGAGAUAGCUGGUUCUCCCCGAAAGCUAUUUAGGUAGCGCCUCGUGAACUCAUCUUCGGGGGUAGAGCACUGUUUCGACUAGGGGGUCAUCCCGACUUACCAACUCGAUGCAAACUGCGAAUACCGAAGAAUGUUAUCACGGGAGACACACGGCGGGUGCUAACGUCCGUCGUGAAGAGGGAAACAACCCAGACCGCCAGCUAAGGUCCCAAAGUCAUGGUUAAGUGGGAAACGAAGUGGGAAGGCUCAGACAGCCAGGAUGUUGGCUUAGAAGCAGCCAUCAUUUAAAGAAAGCGUAAUAGCUCACUGGUCGAGUCGGCCCGCGCGGAAGAUGUAACGGGGCUAAACCAUGCACCGAAGCUGCGGCAGCGACACAAAGUGUUGUUGGGUAGGGGAGCGUUCUGUAAGCCUGCGAAGGUGUACUGUGAGGUAUGCUGGAGGUAUCAGAAGUGCGAAUGCUGACAUAAGUAACGAUAAUGCGGGUGAAAAACCCGCACGCCGGAAGACCAAGGGUUCCUGUCCAACGUUAAUCGGGGCAGGGUGAGUCGACCCCUAAGGCGAGGCUGAAAAGCGUAGUCGAUGGGAAACGGGUUAAUAUUCCCGUACUGGUGGUAACUGCGAUGGGGGAACGGAGAAGGCUAGGUUGUCCGGGCGACGGUCGUCCCGGUUCAAGCAGGUAGGCAGAGUGAUUAGGCAAAUCCGGUCACUUAAUGCUGAGAUGUGAUGACGAACCACCAAGGUGGUGAAGCAAUUGAUGCCCCGCUUCCAGGAAAAGCCUCUAAGCUUCAGGUUACCAACAAUCGUACCCCAAACCGACACAGGUGGUCAGGUAGAGAAUACUCAGGCGCUUGAGAGAACUCGGGUGAAGGAACUAGGCAAAAUGGUGCCGUAACUUCGGGAGAAGGCACGCUGGCGGUAGGUAAAGUCCCUCGCGGACGGCGCUGAAGCCAGUCGAAGAUACCAGCUGGCUGCAACUGUUUAUUAAAAACACAGCACUGUGCAAACACGAAAGUGGACGUAUACGGUGUGACGCCUGCCCGGUGCUGGAAGGUUAAUUGAUGGGGUCAGCCGCAAGGCGAAGCUCCUGAUCGAAGCCCCAGUAAACGGCGGCCGUAACUAUAACGGUCCUAAGGUAGCGAAAUUCCUUGUCGGGUAAGUUCCGACCUGCACGAAUGGCGUAAUGAUGGCCAGGCUGUCUCCACCCGAGACUCAGUGAAAUUGAACUCGCUGUGAAGAUGCAGUGUACCCGCGGCAAGACGGAAAGACCCCGUGAACCUUUACUAUAGCUUGACACUGAACAUUGAGCCUUGAUGUGUAGGAUAGGUGGGAGGCUUUGAAGUGUGGACGCCAGUCUGCAUGGAGCCAACCUUGAAAUACCACCCUUUAACGUUUGAUGUUCUAACCUAGGCCCAUAAACUGGGUCGGGGACCGUGUCUGGUGGGUAGUUUGACUGGGGCGGUCUCCUCCUAAAGAGUAACGGAGGAGCACGAAGGUUGGCUAAGCAUGGUCGGACAUCAUGCGGUUAGUGCAAAGGCAUAAGCCAGCUUGACUGCGAGAGUGACGGCUCGAGCAGGUACGAAAGUAGGUCUUAGUGAUCCGGUGGUUCUGAAUGGAAGGGCCAUCGCUCAACGGAUAAAAGGUACUCCGGGGAUAACAGGCUGAUACCGCCCAAGAGUUCAUAUCGACGGCGGUGUUUGGCACCUCGAUGUCGGCUCAUCACAUCCUGGGGCUGAAGUAGGUCCCAAGGGUAUGGCUGUUCGCCAUUUAAAGUGGUACGCGAGCUGGGUUUAGAACGUCGUGAGACAGUUCGGUCCCUAUCUGCCGUGGGCGUUGGAAGAUUGAGAGGGGUUGCUCCUAGUACGAGAGGACCGGAGUGAACGCACCACUGGUGUUCGGGUUGUCAUGCCAAUGGCAUUGCCCGGUAGCUAAGUGCGGAAGAGAUAACCGCUGAAAGCAUCUAAGCGGGAAACUUGCCUCGAGAUGAGUCUUCCCUGUCGCUUUAAGCGACCUAAAGGAACGUUUAAGACUAAGACGUUGAUAGGCUGGGUGUGUAAGCGUAGCGAUACGUUGAGCUAACCAGUACUAAUGAACCGUGAGGCUUAACCUGACAACACCGAAAGUGUUUUG
rnacentral:rRNA from 1 species